UACAGAGGUCCCAAGCGUUGUUCGGAUUCACUGGGCGUAAAGGGUGCGUAGGUGGUGAGGUAAGUCGGAUGUGAAAUCUCCGAGCUCAACUCGGAAAUGGCAUUGGAAACUACCUUGCUAGAGGAUCGGAGGGGGGACUGGAAUACUUGGUGUAGCAGUGAAAUGCGUAGAUAUCAAGUGGAACACCAGUGGCGAAGGCGAGUCCCUGGACGAUACCUGACACUGAGGCACGAAAGCUAGGGGAG
rnacentral:rRNA from 1 species